GCGCGAAAACUUUACAAUACUGGCAACAGCGAUAAGGGAACCUCGAGUGCCAGGUUACAAAUCUGGCUGUCGAGAUGCCUAAAAAGCAUUUCAUAGCAAGGGCCGGGCAAGACCGGUGCCAGCCGCCGCGGUAACACCGGCGGCUCGAGUGGUAACCGUUAUUAUUGGGUCUAAAGGGUCUGUAGCCGGCCGGAUAAGUCUCUUGGGAAAUCUGGCAGCUCAACUGUCAGGCUUUCAGGAGAUACUGUCUGGCUCGAGGCCGGGAGAGGUGAGAGGUACUUCAGGGGUAGGGGUGAAAUCUUGUAAUCCUUGAAGGACCACCAGUGGCGAAGGCGGCUCACCAGAACGGACCUGACGGCAAGGGACGAAAGCUAGGGGCACGAACCG
rnacentral:rRNA from 1 species